CCUUUAUAGUGGUUCUGGGUCUGAAUAGCUCAGAGAUUUUUGUGUUGUCUAUCAGCUUCAUCUCUUGUAAAAUCCACGAGAAUGGAGUUAAAUAACAGCACUAAAUUU